rnacentral:misc_RNA from 1 species
UAACGUUGGUGGAUUCACAAAUUUCAAUCUCGGUGACUGAAUCAAGAAGCAUGUCAAGCUCUGCUUCUGCAGCUGCUGCCUUAAAUGCAGACGGUUUAUUAGAAACACACAUCAGUGUAUCAUUCUGUCCAGCCUCAUCCUUAGAUGCAGUCGAAGGGUUAGAGGAUUCAUAAGCUAAAGUUGGAUGUCUGCUAUUGUUGCUUGUGGUGCCCAGAUGCGAAUCUUGAUGCCUGUUUUCAUUGCUUUUGUUAGUGGAAGUUAAUGAAUUGGAGUCUUUUUCGGCCGUUGAACUCUUGCUUGAAGCUAGAUCGCUGUCAUGUUUCUCUUUAGCUGCUGAUUGCGACUCCUGAUCGUUCAGUACCAAAG